GGCACCACUCCGGUGGCCUAGUGGUUAGAGUAUCCGCCUGAGAUGCGGAAGGUCAUGGGUUCGAUCCCCGGUCGAGUCA